UGCAUAAGCUGGUGACAGUCAUCCGAUGGUGAUUUUUUUAUGACACGUGUAUGGAUCUGAAGGUCUCACAUCUGACCCCGAGUCACACAGGAUCACAGUCUCAAGCUCUCUCAAGGUCUUACCAUCGCGAUUCUCUCUGAAUCUCGCUGUCUCGCCGUCGUCUUCUCCCUUCGUAAUCUCGCCGUAAUCUCGCCGUCGUUCGCCGUCGUUCGCUGUAAUCUCGCCGUAAUCAAAUGGAUUGAUGCAUUAAUUGGAGGUGGGUUACGUGAAGGACAGUUAACUGAACUUUGAAGUAGAAAUACUCACUGUUUGAAUCUGGAAAGACACAUGUUUUGAUUCAAUUGUGUUUUAAAUGGAUUUAACGUCCACUUCAUCUGGAAUUGGUGAUAUUCAUUCGACUGAAGCAUCUGAAUGGUGCUGAUGUAUUGAAAAAAAAGACCCACUUACUGAACUUUUUGCAGACUACUACUUAUGAUAUCUUUGAAGAGUCUUGGUUUUUCUUCUUCAGCUCAAGUCAAACUGUAUAGAUCAUACUGGUUCAAUAAGAUAGGGGUGAUGGUAGUGCUUGGUUAUUGAUCACAUUUGUUCUAUAGUUUAAGGCGAAAAUGGAAAUGCAUUUGUGAAUAAGUGUGUACUAUAGGUUGUGAAUAAUGGUUUGAAUAUUCAGGAUUUAAAAAAUCUAUUUUACUCUCAUAGUCAA